GAUGAACGCUGGCGGCGUGCCUAACACAUGCAAGUCGAACGGAGUGGCGGACGGGUGAGUAACGCGUGGGCAACCUGCCCUAUACAGGGGGAUAGCAGCUGGAAACGGCUGGUAAGACCGCAUAGUAUAGGAGGGGCCCGCGUCCGAUUAGCCAGUUGGCAGGGUAAAAGCCUACCAAAGCGACGAUCGGUAGCCGGACUGAGAGGUCGGAAGGCUACAUCGGGACUGAGACACGGCCCAAACUCCUACGGGAGGCAGCAGUGGGGGAUAUUGCACAAUGGAGGAAACGCUGAGGCAGCGACGCCGCGGGAGUGAAGAAGUAUGUCGGUAUGUAAAGCUCUAUCAGCAGGGAAGCGGUACCUGACUAAGAAGCCCCGGCUAACUACGUGCCAGCAGCCGCGGUAAUUC
rnacentral:rRNA from 1 species